AGUAAGUUAUUGCCAGGGUUUUUAUUUUAUACUUUAAACAUUGAUUUUAUUUUUUAUGUUUUUAGAUGUUCAUGUUUUUGAAUGUUUUAUUUAAAUAAUAUAAAAAAUAAAAUAUAUAUUGACAUGGAUUAAACAAAGAUAUAUAUUAUUCUAUGUUGCAUAAACAAAUUGGCAAAAUAGAGAUGGAAGAUAAAAAUAUGGCAAAGAAAG
rnacentral:rRNA from 1 species